CUUUGUAUCAUGCGUAUCCGACAUAUGUGACUACGCAUAUUAUCUGUUCAUUAGAUACAAUAGACAAUACCAAGAACUUCGAUUCGUAGGAAUCCAAUUUAAUUGCGUCGAUUGGAAAUUCCAUAAUGCCUUGAUGAAUAAGACAUUAAGAAAUACAUACACAUGUAGCAUGUGGAGGAAGAAGGGAGAGUGCAUGUCGAAAAUAGAUAACAGUGUUGCAUCCCAAUCUCUACGCUACUGUGUAAUAUUGUAUAGUUGUCCCUAAACUCUCUAUGUAUGUAGUCUCUUCUAGUGCUAACAAUAAGUGGUACCACUCUAUUACUUCGGGUCGUGUAACGAAGUCGUGUAGUGGUAUCUGGACUGGUGCGGGUAGUGGUAGUGGUGACUGGCGACUGGUGACUGGUGACGGUGACGGGACCGAUCGAUGCAAUUAGUUUGUUGGCGACUUUCGCGACCAUCGCACCGAUCGUUUCUGUUUUUUUCUUUUAGUUGUUUCAGCUUUCUUUGAGUUACAUUUCUUCUUCGAUUCUAUCGAAUCGUAACGUACUAAUUCUUAAUUUUGGGUAAUAUUAACGAAAUGUUCAAAUAACAUUUAUGUUUCGAAUACGCCGUAUGUCUCUCUAAAACAUAUCAAUUUGAUAGAUUAGUCAUACUUGUGUGAUACGCUUUUGAUUAACACGUUGCUUGAUCAACAUAACGUUGACAGACUUUGAUUCUUCCGUCGUUCCUGUCCAAUUGGAAUAGUUCCUAAUGUUAAUGUAAUCCAGCGAUUCGUAUUUAGACACAUCCCGUCGAUAAAUCAUGCAGAAUAGUUAUGUUAUCGAACACGACAAUGAUUCAACGAUCACGACGGUGUCACAUGAGAGAACACAGGAAGCACAAAACAAUGUUAAAGCGACGGAAAACACGUUGUUAACACCCACCAAUAAACAAGCAUACUUCGCCGAUCAAAAAAUUCCAAUACCAGAAGCAGAAACCGGUUUCUUUAGUUUCAGAAAAUUAUGGGCCUUUACAGGUCCUGGAUUUUUAAUGUCUAUAGCUUACUUGGAUCCUGGGAAUAUAGAGUCCGAUUUACAGUCUGGAGUAGCAGCAAAAUAUAAGUUACUAUGGGUAUUAUUAAGUGCAACAAUUUUGGGUCUUGUUAUGCAAAGGUUGAGUGCCAGGCUCGGCGUUGUAACUGGUUUACAUUUAGCCGAGAUGUGUUAUAGACAAUAUAAGCUAGUACCUAGACUAAUAUUGUGGAUAAUGAUGGAGAUAGCCAUUAUUGGUAGCGACAUGCAAGAAGUAAUAGGCACGGCCAUUGCCCUAUCUUUAUUGACAAAUAAAGCAAUACCUAUAUGGGGCGGUGUACUCAUUACUGUGGUAGACACUUUUACAUUUUUAUUGUUAGACAAAUAUGGUUUGAGAAAAUUGGAAUUCUUUUUUGGACUUCUCAUUACCAUAAUGGCUGUUACUUUUGGUUACGAGUACAUUAUCUCUGCGCCGCCUCAAGGUGAAGUAAUGGAAGGCAUGUUUCUACCCUGGGAUACAACCUACGAUAGCGAUACAUUAUUACAGGCUGUAGGAAUUGUUGGUGCAGUUAUAAUGCCACAUAAUUUAUACCUUCACAGUGCAUUAGUGAAAUCGAGAGAUAUCGAUCGUAGGGAACCGAAGAAAGUGAGGGAAGCAAAUAUGUAUUAUUUUGUUGAAGCUUGCAUAGCAUUGUUCGUUUCUUUUAUCAUAAACGUAUUUGUUGUAUCAGUUUUUGCGUAUGGACUUUAUAAUAAAACAAAUGAAGAAGUUUAUGAAGUAUGCGAGGCUCAUAAUUACACUUUAGGAAUGGAAACAUUUACGAAGGGCAACGAGACCAUUUCAGUAGACCUUAAUAAAGGUGGCAUAUAUCUUGGUUGUGCCUUUGGUGCCACAGCAAUGUACAUUUGGGCUGUAGGUAUCUUUGCCGCUGGUCAGUCUUCUACGAUGACAGGCACGUACGCUGGACAGUUUGCAAUGGAAGGAUUUUUGAAUCUUCAGUGGGCUCGUUGGAAGCGAGUCCUUUUUACUAGAAUGAUAGCCAUUAUUCCCACUUUUCUCGUAGCAUUUUUCAGCCACAUAGACAAUUUAACUGAAAUGAAUGACAUCUUAAAUGCCGUUAUGACGCUUCAGUUACCUUUUGCAACCUUGCCAACUAUAGCAUUUACGAGCAGCUCACAGAUAAUGGGCGAAUUUCGAAAUGGAUUAGGAAACAAAAUUGUUGCGACGGCAUUGUCUGGGCUAGUGAUAACUAUAAAUAUAUAUUUUGUCAUAAAUACAGUGAAACCGGAUCAUUGGGCAAAAAUAUUGGGAAUCACAAUAUACUCCAUCUUAUAUCUUCUAUUUUGUCUUUACUUGAUCAUUCAUAUGGCUGUUAGUAUGGGUGCAACUUCUCUUGGCGACCAUUGGUUUGUAAGAAAAUAUAUUGGUAGUCCCGUAACUACAACGCUUGGAUUAUCAAACCCAACUAUAUAUGCAAGUUUCUUCAAUGUAUCAGAAACAUCUUUAAGUACAUAAAUGAGUUUGACUUGUGAUACUAUUUUAUUCGAGACGCCUUCUUCCAAAUAUAAAAAGUGUGUCUAUUUGAAAACCAUUCAAGAUCAUCCAAUUUCAACGUAGCAUCGCAUAUGAUCAAAUCCAGCAUUCAAUAUUCAAGAAAACGGGAAUGGCAACUUUAGCACGAUACCAGAUUAUUGAUAAAUGAUCAAUAUCGCAU